UACGGAGGAUGCAAGCGUUAUCCGGAAUGAUUGGGCGUAAAGCGUCCGCAGGUGGCAAUGUAAGUCUGCUGUUAAAGAGUCUAGCUCAACUAGAUAAAAGCAGUGGAAACUACAUAGCUAGAGUACGUUCGGGGCAGAGGGAAUUCCUGGUGUAGCGGUGAAAUGCGUAGAGAUCAGGAAGAACACCAGUGGCGAAGGCGCUCUGCUAGGCCGUAACUGACACUGAGGGGCGAAAGCUAGGGGAGCGAAUGGG
rnacentral:rRNA from 1 species